GACGAACCGUGCGAACGUUAUUCGGAAUCACUGGGCUUAAAGCGCGUGUAGGCGGGACGGCACGUCGGUCGCUGAAAGCCCCCGGCUCAACCGGGGAACGGGCGCCGAGACGACCGCCCUGGAGGGACGUAGGGGGACCUGGAACUUCCGGUGGAGCGGUGAAAUGCGUUGAGAUCGGAAGGAACGCCCGUGGCGAAAGCGAGGUCCUGGACGUCUGCUGACGCUGAGACGCGAAAGCCAGGGGAGCGAACGGG
rnacentral:rRNA from 1 species